rnacentral:rRNA from 1 species
UUUAAGGUCUAACCUGCCCAAUGAGGAUUUAAAUGGCCGCAGUAUUUUGACUGUGCAAAGGUAGCAUAAUUAUUAGUUUUUUAAUUGAAAGCUUGUAUGAAGGGUUGGACGAGAUAAAAUCUGUCUUUAUUUAAAUCAAAGUAUAAUUUAACUUUUAAGUCAAAAGGCUUAAAUGUUUAUAAAAGACGAGAAGACCCUAUAGAUCUUUAUUUAAUUAAGAUUUUAAUAAUUUAGGAUUAUUUUAAUUUGGAGUUUUAAUUAAAUUUUAUUGGGGUAAUAUAAAGAUUAAAUAAAUUCUUUUUAUUUAUAACAUUAAUUUAUGAAUAUAUGAUCCAUUAAUAUUGAUUAUAAGAUUAAGUUACCUUAGGGAUAACAGCGUAAUUUUUUUGGAGAGCUCAUAUCGAUAAGAAAGUUUGCGACCUCGAUGUUGGAUUAAAAAUUAGCUUGGGUGCAGAAGCUCAAGAUUUUGGUCUGUUCGACCAUUAAAUUUUUACAUGAUCUGAGUUCAGACCGGCGUAAGCCAGGUCGGUUUCUAUCUUUAUUUAGAUAAAAUAUUUUAGUACGAAAGGACCAAGUAUUUAAUAUAAUUAUAUUUAUUUUUUGAAGAAUAUU